UGUUAUCUGAAUAUUGAUGAAGACGCACUCUGCGAGAAAGCGAGGAGGAGUCCAGAAGACGGCCAAACUCUUGGUCUCGCACCCACCGCCCACACCGCUCAAGAGUCCAAGCGUCGCCAUCGACUCGCCGUUGCACCUUCACCCGGCCUUCUCAACGGUAAAAAUGGCGUCAAUAAAAGCUCAGGAACAAACAGCAAAUCCACCAAUCCACCAUUCACGAUUCACCAUCCACACUCACAGACUCACCGAUCCUGUCUACAAACUACAAAUCCUCCAUAGCAAGUAGCAACCACUGAACCACUGAACGUCUGAACCACAAGGUCUUCACUCUUCAGUCUUCACACUUCAAGUCCAGCCCUUCGGCCUUCGCCUAAGCCUUAUCACCUAAUUAUCAGGGAUUGAAGGCACAUGUUAACCGGUUAGGGCAAGAUAAAGAUUUUUGAUUAAUUGAUUCUCAAGUUCAAACAGGUGCUUUUGUUCCUUUUUUUUUUGUUAAGAUCAAUUUUAUUUUAAUUUUUAUUGACCUUCCACUUGGAAGGUUUUACUUGAUAAUGUGUCAAACUUAACUGUAAAAUCUUUAUGCAAUACACGAUGGGAGAGUCGAAUAAAAAGUGUCAAAGCUAUUAGAUUUCAAGCUCCUCAAAUAAGGUUGGCUUUGUUAGAAUUAUGUGAAUCUUGUGAUGAUGCCAAAUCAAAGAGUGAAGCGGAAAGCUUGGUUAGUGCACUUGAGAGUUUUGAAUUUUUACUUGGAAUUGUUAUUUGGUAUGAAAUUUUAUUUGCUAUUAACAUGGUAAGUAAAAGGUUGCAAACAAAAUCUAUGUGCAUUGAAACUACUAAAAAUCAAAUUAAAGGUGUAAUAGAUUUUUUUGAGAAGUAUAGAAAUGAAGGGUUUGUUUCUAGUAUAAAUAUUGCCAAAAGUAUUGCAUGUGAGAUGAACAUAGAGCCUACAUUUCCAAUUAAACGUCGUAUUAUUAGGAAAAAACAAUUUGAUGAAAAUGAUUAUGAGGAGGAAAUGCAAUCACCUGAGGAAUCUUUUAGAGUUAAUUAUUUUCUAAUUGUUGUGGAUAUGGCAAUUGCUUCAUUGAAUACUAGAUUUGAACAAUUGAACACAUUUGAAAAUAUUUUUGGAUUCUUAUAUGAUUCAAAAAAAUUGAAGUCAUUAGAUAAUGAUGAAUUAAUGGAAUGUUGUAAUAAUUUUGCAUUUACUUUUUCUCAUAACAAUGUGUCAGAUGUAGAUUCAAAUGAUCUUUUUUUCUGAAUUAAAAGUGUUACAGGUGACUUUGCCAGACAAGUUGAUGUCCGCAAUCGAGAUUCUUGAGUUUGUCAAAGUUGCAGAUUGCUACCCAACGGUUUCUAUUGCUUAUCGGAUUCUAUUGACUAUACAGGAACGGCCCUGCUUAGCUCGUCUGCUCUUCGACGUCCGUAAAUGACUCCAGCCUCCACCCCUCCCACUACCGCUGGAGCCAUCACUAUCAUCGGUCUCUCUCUC